AAACAACAGUUUUUUUUUGUUUUGUUUUGUUUUUCGCAGACCACGUACUUUACCCACACCAGAACCAACCAACCGAGUUAAUGACCAGAAAAGGAAUCGGCCAUUAUUAAAAAGAAAGGAAACAGGUGACUUGGGUAGUCAUUGAAUUAAGCUGGACUUGAAAGAUAAUGAACAAGGAUACCUGGAUGGUGGCAGUAUUACUGACUGAGAAGUGGAAUGCAGGGAGACAAAGAGAACUGCAGUGGGCACGCUGAAUUAAAAGCAUCUGAAAGGAAAAACAAAUGGCUAUAUCUGGUAGGUAGAUGAGUAUGGAACUCAGAAGAGAUGUCUAGGUUGAAGAUUGAAAAAUACAAUGAUCAUCAGUUGUUUGUUGAAUCUCCGGGCAUAGAUGAGAGUGCUCAGAAUAAAGUAUAUGGUGAGAAGAGGAGAGACCAAAGGAUGGAAUACUGGGGAAUAGCCCACUUAAAAUUUAAGCAGAGGAAGAGAAGCCCAUGUAGGACAGCAAACAUACAUGGCCAGAGAAACAGGAGGAAAACAGGGAGAGAGCAGUGCCAUAGAUACAUUUGUUGACUUGCUCAAUAAAUGACAGGGCAGAGAGUUUAAAGGCUCUGGGAAUAAUCAGCAGUAGAGAAAUCAAGUAUGACAAGGACUGAUGACUUGAGAAAUAAUUUCAUUGAUAUGGUAAGAGUAGAAGCCAGAUUGUAGGUGCGAAGUACCAGUGAGAGUUGAAAGAGCACACUUUUGGAUUUCAUUUUUAAAAAUUUCAAAAUCCUC